GGGAGGAUUUUGGGCCGGGGCAGUACAUGGUGGGGGGGGCUCUGGGGAGGCUCUGUGGGCUUUGGGAUGUUCCUGGGGGAUUUCUGGGUUAACUGGGGGGCUCGGGAGGAGUCCCGGGGGCCAGUUGGGGGGUCAGCACCCCCACAUCCCUCAUCUUCCCCCCCCAGUGACGCGACGCAGCUCCAAGCGCUUGGUGGUCUCGGCCCCCCGGGGCGGCCCCCCCUGGGCACCCCCGUCCCGCAGCCCCCUGGGCAGCCCCGACUUUGACCGACCCCGACGGAGCCCUCGGCUCCAGAGCCAGAAGGAGAACGACCCCUCCCUUCCCCA